GACGAACGCUGGCGGCGUGCCUAAUACAUGCAAGUUGAGCGCUGAAGGUUGGUACUUGUACCAACUGGAUGAGCAGCGAACGGGUGAGUAACGCGUGGGGAAUCUGCCUUUGAGCGGGGGACAACAUUUGGAAACGAAUGCUAAUACCGCAUAAAAACUUUAAACACAAGUUUUAAGUUUGAAAGAUGCAAUUGCAUCACUCAAAGAUGAUCCCGCGUUGUAUUAGCUAGUUGGUGAGGUAAAGGCCCACCAAGGCGAUGAUACAUAGCCGACCUGAGAGGGUGAUCGGCCACAAUGGGACUGAGACACGGCCCAAACUCCUACGGGGGGCAGCAGUAGGGAAUCUUCGGCAAUGGACGGAAGUCUGACCGAGCAACGCCGCGUGAGUGGAGAAGGUUUUCGGAUCGUAAAACUCUGUUGGUAGAGAAGAACGUUGGUGAGAGUGGAAAGCUCAUCAAGUGACGGUAACUACCCAGAAAGGGACGGCUAACUACGUG
rnacentral:rRNA from 1 species